UACGUGAGGGUGCAAGCGUUGUCCGGAAUUAUUGGGCGUAAAGAGCUCGUAGGCGGUUUGUCGCGUCUGCUGUGAAAAUCCAGGGCUUAACCCUGGACCUGCAGUGGGUACGGGCAGACUGGAGUGCGGUAGGGGAGAUCGGAAUUCCUGGUGUAGCGGUGAAAUGCGCAGAUAUCAGGAGGAACACCGAUGGCGAAGGCAGCUCGCUGGGACGGUACUGACGCUGAGGCGCGAAAGCGUGGGGAGCAAACAGG
rnacentral:rRNA from 1 species